rnacentral:rRNA from 1 species
GACGAACGCUGGCGGCGUGCUUAACACAUGCAAGUCGAACGGAAAGGCCCUGCUUUUGUGGGGUGCUCGAGUGGCGAACGGGUGAGUAACACGUGAGUAACCUGCCCUUGACUUUGGGAUAACUUCAGGAAACUGGGGCUAAUACCGGAUAGGAGCUCCUGCUGCAUGGUGGGGGUUGGAAAGUUUCGGCGGUUGGGGAUGGACUCGCGGCUUAUCAGCUUGUUGGUGGGGUAGUGGCUUACCAAGGCUUUGACGGGUAGCCGGCCUGAGAGGGUGACCGGCCACAAUGGGACUGGGAUACGGCCCAGACUCCUACGGGGGGCAAGAGGGGGGAAUAUUGCACAAUGGGCGGAAGCCUGAUGCAGCAACGCCGCGUGCGGGAUGACGGCCUUCGGGUUGUAAACCGCUUUCGCCUGUGACGAAGCGUGAGUGACGGUAAUUGGUAAAGAAGCACCGGCUAACUACGUG